UUCCUUGCAACCUUAUUAAAUGAAUUUACUUUAUUCUUUCCAAAUGUAGACGACCUUGGUACAGUAAAUCUUCCAGACUUGUAGGUGUCAUUCAAAAUCUUAGAGUGCUCUGGCAUAACUUCUGUUUUCACCAUUGUUGUCAACUGAUUAACGUCCUUUGUUUUGGUGGCCACCUUGCAAGUUUGAAAGCUCUCGUAUUUGACUCGAGAACAUUGAUCGAGAUGGUGUGAUUCUUUGGAGAUUGUCCAGAUGGCAGCAAUUUUUCUUUUGCCCUUUUACCACACUUUUCUUACUUUGCAAAUGCAGUCCUCGUCUUUCUUGGAUAGGUUUUGUCAAAAAUAAGUUUCUGACUGACAAAUUCAACUCCUGAGGAGAUCACUAUUGAAGAAAAGAGCCAGUGAAAGAUUCCAAAAAGAGUCCCCAAGAGCCACCAAGUUUGAAGACAAUAAAAGGGCAAAAACUAUCUCUGCAGCCCGUGAAGAAGAACAGUAGAUUACUGUGUUUGUGAAGCUUUUGCAAAGAUAAGUUUGUUUGCAAAUGUGAAGAUUAAUGUUCUGCUUGUAAUCUACAGCAGCAGACUCCACACGUGGCCCCUUCUUUAUUCCAAUAUAAGGUUACUAAUUCGAGUUGAAUUUGUUCUCUGUUGAUUUCCACCAAAAUGUGGUGACUGUUUUUACUUCCAGCGCUCCAGGUCUGCUGUGCACCAGGGCAUUUAGAAGAUUUGCUGCCAAAUUUGUCUUUAGCGCUGUUUUUGUGAUGAUGAUGGCAGGUGUAGCUUUUUCUGUUGUGGUUGAGGAAUUGUUGCCUAACCCUCUUUGACCAUAGGCAUUGAGAGUCUCCUUUGAUGGAGGGUGCAGCAACAGUAGCUGCAACAGAUUUAUGGCACUCUCCCUUGGUGAUUAGAGGAGCAUUUCCCCCACAACCAAAGGGGAAGUCUCGAUAAGAAGACACAGGCCGGGUGGGAUGUUUCACCGCAGAUACAAAACUUUUGAAAGAACAAGUAGGGGUUUGAAGAGAUGAAAAUGCAUUUUGACAUUCAAGAGAAGAUGCUGGAGAUAACGGUGACUUAUUCUUUUGAAGAUCUGAAUUUCCAGGAGGAAAAUUUGCAAAUGGUGAUGCGUAACGCCCACAACCAGGCGGAAAAUCACGUAUUACAGAUGGCUUUGCCUUCUUAACCUUAGAAACAUGGAAUUCUUUUACAGUACAAUUCUUGUUACUAGCUGUAUUACAGUGCAAGUAAUUAAAUCCCUCAGAACUGUCGUGCAAGUUAAACUGAGCUUGUUUCUCAAUAACUACUUCGUAGUCUGCCAAUGGUGAAUAUACUCCUUCCAUCAUUUCAUGGCAUCCAGAACGUAUACAACCUAUAAUGAUUCCUAUGAACAUGGUAAGCAAGCGUUCGAAUACCGAUGCAAGAACACUAGUAUCAAGAUGAACUUGCAAUAAAAUGACCAGAAAAGUGAAUGAUUUGCAAGAAUAAACUAGAUAAAGAUGACCAAAAGCAAUUUAAAAUUAUACAAGCAAAAAGAAGAUUAAACUAAACUAUCAUAAACUUCACUAACGGUUUACAGAACACCCGUGCAAGUUAAUGGAGCUUCUUUCUCAGUUAUUACUUCAUUGAUAAAUGACCUUCCAAAACAUGGUGCAACUCAGGCAGGUUCCUUGAUAGCGGUGUAAAUCAUGCAGUGGUUAGCGUAGUUACUAAGCGGAUAGUGCAACAAACAGUUAACCAUUCAUGCUCUGCAUGCUCUGCCUCUUUCACCGCCAAUAUUGUUAAUGCGGUUGCUCUGCCUUUGUUUCCUCCGUAAUUUCCAUCAUCUGCAGUGGUCUACGGUGGUUAUCUUUGUGUAAAUCUGCAUAUCUUGCAGUUGUAAAUGUACUAUGGUUAAUACAAGAGAUUUAUUUUUCAUUCUC